CUUGCUAGACUUUGAGCCACACAUUUACUAUUUACUGCUUAUGAGCAUUGAGUGUGGUCAAGCUGUGAAGAACCUUAGGAACUUGUCAUGUGGUUAAAUCAAGAUUUCACUUGCACGUUCACUCAUAUAUGCUACUUCUACUCCGGAAGUACCAUCCACAUAUAUCCACCCAUUCCAUCUCCAGAAUCACCCAAAAAUAUUCUACUCCUAAUCCGGGAGAGAAUAACCAAAAAUAUUUCUGUUUUCCCCUUGUGAAAUAAAUGCUCAAGUUAUCUUGUUACUACCACUUGCUAUAUUAUCUCAUGAGAUGAAUGCUCUAAAAAAAGGGAAUAAUACGAGGAAAUAAAAAGGAGUAAGUGCUCGGAACCUCGAAAGAAAAGAAAAAGUGAGACGAGAGGUAAAAAUGGACAAGUGUCCGACAGUAGAAUUAGGGGUGCAAGAUACCCACCUGAGAGAAAAGAAAAAGAAGAGCAUCUCAUUCUCCUCAUAAAGUUUCAAAAGCAAGGAAGGUAUGUAUCCCCUCAAAGAGCAAAAGUAGAAUUAGACUUCCACCACCAUUGUUUUCACCAUCAUCACCAUAUACCAUU
rnacentral:lncRNA from 1 species